AGAGUUUGAUCAUGGCUCAGGACGAACGCUGGCGGCGUGCCUAAUACAUGCAAGUCGAGCGGACCGACGGGAGCUUGCUCCCUUAGGUCAGCGGCGGACGGGUGAGUAACACGUGGGUAACCUGCCUAUAAGACUGGGAUAACUCCGGGAAACCGGGGCUAAUACCGGAUGCUUGUUUGAACCGCAUGGUUCAAACAUAAAAGGUGGCUUUUCGCUACCACUUACAGAUGGACCCGCGGCGCAUUAGCUAGUUGGUGGGGUAACGGCUCACCAAGGCGACGAUGCGUAGCCGACCUGAGAGGGUGAUCGGCCACACUGGGACUGAGACACGGCCCAGACUCCUACGGGAGGCAGCAGUAGGGAAUCUUCCGCAAUGGACGAAAGUCUGACGGAGCAACGCCGCGUGAGUGAUGAAGGUUUUCGGAUCGUAAAACUCUGUUGUUAGGGAAGAACAAGUACCGUUCGAACAGGGCGGUACCUUGACGGUACCUAACCAGAAAGCCACGGCUAACUACGUGCCAGCAGCCGCGGUAAUACGUAGGUGGCAAGCGUUGUCCGGAAUUAUUGGGCGUAAAGCGCGCGCAGGCGGUUUCUUAAGUCUGAUGUGAAAGCCCCCGGCUCAACCGGGGAGGGUCAUUGGAAACUGGGGAACUUGAGUGCAGAAGAGGAGAGUGGAAUUCCACGUGUAGCGGUGAAAUGCGUAGAGAUGUGGAGGAACACCAGUGGCGAAGGCGACUCUCUGGUCUGUAACUGACGCUGAGGCGCGAAAGCGUGGGGAGCGAACAGGAUUAGAUACCCUGGUAGUCCACGCCGUAAACGAUGAGUGCUAAGUGUUAGAGGGUUUCCGCCCUUUAGUGCUGCAGCAAACGCAUUAAGCACUCCGCCUGGGGAGUACGGUCGCAAGACUGAAACUCAAAGGAAUUGACGGGGGCCCGCACAAG
rnacentral:rRNA from 1 species